GGCACGCCUAAUACAUGCAAGUCGAACGCAGUAGCAAUACUGAGUGGCAGACGGGUGAGUAUAAUGUGGGAAUAUGCCUUUUGGUUUGGAAUAACUCGGGGAAACUUGAGCUAAUACCGAAUAAGCCCUUACGGGGAAAGAUUCAUCGCCGAAAGAUUAGCCCGCACUUGAUUAGCUUGUUGGUGAGGUAAAAGCUCACCAAGGCAACGAUCAAUAGCUGUUCUUAGAGGAAGACCAGCCACAUUGGGACUGAGACACGGCCCAGACUCCUACGGGAGGCAGCAGUAGGGAAUCUUGCACAAUGGGGGAAACCCUGAUGCAGCGAUGCCGCGUGAGUGAAGAAGGCCUUUGGGUUGUAAAACUCUUUCGUCGGGGAAGAAAAUGACUGUACCCGAAUAAGAAGGUCCGGCUAACUUCGUGCCAGCAGCCGCGGUAAUACGAAGGGAUCUAGCGUAGUUCGGAAUUACUGGGCUUAAAGAGCUCGUAGGUGGUUAAAAAAGUUGGUGGUGAAAUCCCAAGGCUCAACCUUGGAACUGCCAUCAAAACUUUUUAGCUUGAGUGUGAUAGAGGAAAGUGGAAUUUCUAGUGUAGAGGUGAAAUUCGUAGAUAUUAGAAAGAACACCAAAAGCGAAGGCAACUUUCUGGAUCACUACUGACACUGAGGAGCGAAAGCAUGGGUAGCGAAGAGGAUUAGAUACCCUCGUAGUCCAUGCUGUAAACGAUGUGUGCUAGACGUUGGAAAUUUAAUUUUCAGUGUCGCAGCAAAAGCGUUAAGCACACCGCCUGGGGAGUACGACC
rnacentral:rRNA from 1 species